GUGGGGAAUAUUGGGCAAUGGGCGAAAGCCUGACCCAGCAACGCCGCGUGAAGGAAGAAGGUUUUCGGAUCGUAAACUUCUAUCCUUGGUGAAGAUAAUGACGGUAGCCAAGAAGGAAGCCCCGGCUAACUACGUGCCAGCAGCCGCGGUAAUACGUAGGGGGCAAGCGUUGUCCGGAAUGAUUGGGAGUAAAGGGCGCGUAGGCGGCCCGGUAAGUCUGAAGUGAAAGUCCUGCUUUUAAGGUGGGAAUUGCUUUGGAUACUGUCGGGCUUGAGUGCAGGAGAGGUAAGCGGAAUUCCCGGUGUAGCGGUGAAAUGCGUAGAGAUCGGGAGGAACACCAGUGGCGAAGGCGGCUUACUGGACUGUAACUGACGCUGAGGCGCGAAAGUGUGGGGAGCAAACAGGAUUAGAAACCCCAGUAGUCC
rnacentral:rRNA from 1 species